ensembl:lncRNA
CGGUGUGUAGGCGGUGUGUAGGCGGUGUGUAGGCGGUGUGUAGGCGGUGUGAAGGCGGUGUGAAGGCGGUGUGUAGGAGGUGUGAAGGCGGUGUGUAGGCGGUGUGAAGGCGGUGUGAAGGCGGUGUGUAGGAGGUGUGUAGGAGGUGUGUAGGAGGUGUGUAGGCGGUGUGAAGGCGGUGUGAAGGCGGUGUGUAGGAGGUGUGAAGGCGGUGUGAAGGCGGUGUGUAGGCGGUGUGUAGGCGGCGUGUAGGCGGCGUGUAGGCGGUGUGUAGGAGGUGUGAAGGUGGUGUGAAGGUGGCGUGAAGGUGGCGUGAAGGCGGCGUGAAGGCGGCGUGUAGGCGGCGUGUAGGCGGUGUGAAGGCGGCGUGUAGGCGGCGUGAAGGAGGUGUGAAGGCGGUGUGUAGGCGGUGUGAAGGCGGUGUGAAGGCGGUGUGUAGGCGGUGUGAAGGCGAUGUGUAGGUGGUGUGUAGCCGGCGUGUAGGCGGCGUGUAGGCGGCGUGAAGGCGGUGUGAAGGCGGCGUGAAGGCGGUGUGAAGGCGGUGCUCCCGGUCGCUCCUCGCCGUGACGCGCUCCCUCCGGCAGCGAGGAACAAUAGGUGGAACCAGCUGCUGCAGGAGAGUCGGUGUUACUCUGUUUACGGACGCCGGCCUACGUCAGCUCUCCCAGCGUGGAGCAGCAGGGCCGAGGGCGCGGUUGUGUGUGUGCGUCUGUGUGCGUUUGCCUGUGUGUGACACGCUACAAAGAGGGUACCUGCCUACCUGGAAGGAGACCGAUACUCCCCGUUUACCUUCCACUGGGAGGGUGGUGGGUUAAAAGCGUAAACAACAACAACAACAACCAAGUUGCGUGCUUUUAUCUCUUGGCUCAGCUCACUGAUCAAAGGACGGCCGCCACAUAAAAAUAUCACACGGGAAUCAGGAAAUGUUUUCCACUUCUGUUAUAAUGCUGGGAAUCAACCCGGAUCAUAUUUAGUUUCCACUCAGAGAUUAUUUGUCUGUAACUGUGGGAGUCUGAUUAUGACCUUGAGCUCGACACAAAGAACGCUGAGUCACAGAAGAAGGUCACCGGAUUGACAAAUAUCAGAACCUUUGCUGUAAAAUGCAGGAAACAGCUCCGGUCUGAGGAAUGAAGUCAGCGCUUCGUGUGUUAAACGUGCAUUCUUUAAGUAAU